GGACCCCAACACUCGGAGCGACCGGGCGGAAGUGGGCUCGUCACCUUCCCCGGAGCUGAUCGGGCCGGAAGUGGCUGUCACCUUCCCCGGAGCUGAUCGGGCCGGAAGUGGCCAUCACCUUCCCCGGAGCUGAUCGGCCGGAAGUGGGCUUGUCACCUUCCCCACACACUCGCUUGGCGCACACAGCCGGGGGUGACAGCUCCUCAUCACGAGCGUGUCUUGUUUAACUAGAUUUCUUCAGGGAGCGUAACAUUCCAUCACUCUCCAUCCCAAAGUCUGACGGGAGAAACCCCCACGGACACCUGGCCGGACGCCCACCUGCCCGGCGCCCGGGGGCCUCUGCUCAGCUGGCUCUGAGCCCCCACCGACCUCAGACCUCUCCCGCUGCUCUGAAGACCCGCACCCCAGCGCCAGGCACUUCUCUGGGAACACCCUUUGAAGCUGGCCUUCCCCCCAAAGCCUGCAAAGGUGGGCUCAUUGCCGCCUCUCUGCCUCGGGGCUUCUAGCUGGAGCAGAUCCCACCCCGGAGCAGGGCUCUAGACCCGCAGACAGAAGGACGGAUGGAUGGAUGGACAGAUGGGCCACGAGCCGCAGGGGGAAUGCCAUCGGGACCCAGGACGUGGUUAUGCCUAACACACACGUGCCCACGCACACACUGACGCGUCCACGCCACUGCACGCAGAGCCAUCAGAUGCAGACACACCCCUGCAUGGACCCCACCCCACCUCUCUGUCCACUUGGGAAAUAAACUUUCACAAAACAAGA